AUAAGAAGCUGUGAUAGCCUCUUGUGUGUGACAUAUUGUACAAUGGAACUGUGUGGUGAAGGAUCUCCAUUGGAAAAUCUCACAGAGCCUCACUGUCUGUGUCAGUUUGGGUAGCUGAUGACCUGGCUGCUCACCUUUCACCCAUGGUUUGCCUUCUUCUACCCACUACAGCAAGCAGUAAACCAAACUUCAUCAACAUUUUAUCAUCUUCAUAGUGGCCCAUGUGGAAACUCGAACUAUUGAAACACCCUCGUCCAAAUCUGCAGUUGUCUACCUUUCAAAUGACGUUUAUUCUCUUCAACAGUAGCUCACCAAGAAUGCACUUGCCAUACGGCAGUAGGACAGGAUCAACAUGCCCUGCCCCUACCACCAAUGCAGUUUUACAUUCAUAAGUGUCCUAGUUCCUGCCAGAACAAGGUUGGUUUUUCACAGGAGCCAGGCUGAGCCCUGAUCUCUUGGGCACAGGAUUUCUGGGCUGCCGUGCGCUGUGCUGAGUGGGCAUGGCCAAGACCCAAGUGUUAUUCCAUCCUAUCUUAGGACAUUGCCAGGGAUUGGGAGGAAGGGAUUCUUUUUCCUGGCUUCUGUGAAGAAAGGUGCUCCUUUUCCAGUGGGGAAAAUGUGGCUAUGGUCAGGUCAGGCUUUGAGAUGAACAUUUUUGUAUAUGAAUCAUUCUCUCUUUUUGUAUGCUUUUGCUAUUAAUAUAGUUGCUGUUAGUGUUUUCU
rnacentral:lncRNA from 1 species